rnacentral:rRNA from 1 species
AAACCAACUGGGAUUACCUUAGUAACGGCGAGUGAAGCGGUAAAAGCUCAAAUUUGAAAUCUGGUACUUUCAGUGCCCGAGUUGUAAUUUGUAGAAUUUGUCUUUGAUUAGGUCCUUGUCUAUGUUCCUUGGAACAGGACGUCAUAGAGGGUGAGAAUCCCGUUUGGCGAGGAUACCUUUUCUCUGUAAGACUUUUUCGAAGAGUCGAGUUGUUUGGGAAUGCAGCUCAAAGUGGGUGGUAAAUUCCAUCUAAAGCUAAAUAUUGGCGAGAGACCGAUAGCGAACAAGUACAGUGAUGGAAAGAUGAAAAGAACUUUGAAAAGAGAGUGAAAAAGUACGUGAAAUUGUUGAAAGGGAAGGGCAUUUGAUCAGACAUGGUGUUUUUUGCAUGCACUCGCCUCUCGUGGGCUUGGGCCUCUCAAAAAUUUCACUGGGCCAACAUCAAUUCUGGCAGCAGGAUAAAUCAUUAAGAAUGUAGCUACUUCGGUAGUGUUAUAGCUUUUUGGAAUACU